rnacentral:rRNA from 1 species
GAUGAACGCUGGCGGCGUGCUUAACACAUGCAAGUCGAACGGAAAGGCUCCUGCUUGCAGGGGUACUCGAGUGGCGAACGGGUGAGUAACACGUGGGUGAUCUGCCCUGCACUUCGGGAUAAGCCUGGGAAACUGUGUCUAAUACCGGAUAGGACGAUGGUUUGGAUGCCAUUGUGGAAAGUUUUUUCGGUGUGGGAUGAGCUCGCGGCCUAUCAGCUUGUUGGUGGGGUAAUGGCCUACCAAGGCGUCGACGGGUAGCCGGCCUGAGAGGGUGUACGGCCACAUUGGGACUGAGAGACGGCCCAGACUCCUACGGGAGGCAGCAGUGGGGAAUAUUGCACAAUGGGCGCAAGCCUGAUGCAGCGACGCCGCGUGGGGGAUGACGGCCUUCGGGGUGUAAACUCCUUUCGCUAGGGACGAAGCGCAAGUGACGGUACCUGGAGAAGAAGCACCGGCUAACUACGUG